UCAGGCGGCUCUGUACAGACUGAGCGGGGACUGGAACCCGCUGCACAUCGACCCCAGCUUCGCUGCGAUGGGAGGGUUCGAGUCUCCCAUCCUGCACGGCCUGUGUUCGUUUGGCUUCGCUCGGCACGUUCUGAAGCAGUACGCCGCUAACGACGUGUCCAGGUUCAAGGCCAUCAAGGUGCGUUUCGUGAAGCCAGUGUAUCCGGGACAGUCUCUGCAGACGGAGAUGUGGAAGAAGGGAACAGGGUUCACAUCCAGUGCAAGGUGACGAAGCGUUCGGUGUGUGUGUGUGUGUGUGUUUAGUCCUUCAGUGUGUGUUCAGCGCUGAUCUGUUCUGGCUCUAGGUGAAGGAGAGUGGAGACGUGGUGCUGUCUGGAGCGUAUAUAGAUCUGCAGACGGAUGUGUGUGUCAGCGCCGGGUCUCCGCAGGUCUGCACACACACACACACACACACACACACACACACAUACA